UGGCUCAGUUGGUAGAGCAUGGUGUUUGCAACGCCAAGGUUGUGGGUUUGAUUCCCGC
rfam:Salmo salar isolate Sally breed double haploid chromosome ssa02, whole genome shotgun sequence.